AUACGCAGGUGGCAAGCGUUGUCCGGAUUUACUGGGCGUAAGGGGAGCGUAGGCGGACCUUUAAGUGAGAUGUGAAAUACCCGAGCUCAACUUGGGUGCUGCAUUUCAAACUGGAGGUCUAGAGUGUCGGAGAGGUAAGUGGAAUUCCUAGUGUAGCGGUGAAAUGCGUAGAGAUUAGGAAGAACCCCGGUGGCGAAGGCGACUUACUGGACGAUAACUGACGCUGAGGCUCGAAAGCGUGGGGAGC
rnacentral:rRNA from 1 species